UAGAGUUUGAUCAUGGCUCAGGAUGAACGCUGGCGAGAUGCCUUAUACAUGCAAGUCGUACGAGAUUAAACUCAAGUGGCGGACGGGUGAGUAACACGUAAGAAUUUGCCUUUAGGAGGGGGACAACAACUGGAAACGGUUGCUAAUACCCCAUAUGCUUUAGAGUGAAAUGGAUUUUUCCGCCUAAAGAGAAGCUUGCGGCUGAUUAGCUUGUUGGUGUGGUAAUGGCUCACCAAGGCGACGAUCAGUAUCUGGUUUGAGAGGACGAUCAGACACACUGGAACUGAGACACGGUCCAGACUCCUACGGGAGGCAGCAGUAGGGAAUUUUCCGCAAUGGGCGAAAGCCUGACGGAGCAAUCUCGCGUGAGGGAUGACGGCCUAUGGGUUGUAAACCUCUUUUUUCAGGGAGGAAUAAAUGACGUGUACCUGAAGAAUAAGCAUCGGCUAACUCCGUGCCAGCAGCCGCGGUAAGACGGAGGAUGCAAGUGUUAUCCGGAAUCACUGGGCGUAAAGCGUCUGUAGGUGGUUUAAUAAGUCAACUGUUAAAUCUUAAAGCUUAACUUUGAAAUCGCAGUCGAAACUAUUAGACUAGAGUAUAGUAGGGGUAAAGGGAAUUUCCAGUGGAGCGGUGAAAUGCGUAGAGA
rnacentral:rRNA from 1 species